UCAAAAGCGGAGAGCAUAAAACACCGGAAGGUUUUGAAAACAUAAGAAAAUUAAAACUGCAGAUGCAAGAUAAUCGGUCUCGCUGGAUGCGGGAAAUCCGCACGUCCAGUGGGAACGCGAAGUAACUUCCAAACUAUCGCAAUCCGCCCGUCAAACCAUGAAAGUCGCCAAUACCCGAAACGCGAAUUUAUUUCGCUCUAAGGUAGGGGAGAUGAUUGGGGUUAAGUCGUAACAAGGUAUCCGUACCGGAAGGUGCGGAUGGAUUACCUCCUUU
rnacentral:ncRNA from 1 species